rnacentral:lncRNA from 1 species
AGUGGCUGGCCUGACCUUGAUCAUCUGCCUGUGGGGCUCCCUGGGGCACAGUUGGGAAUUUGUCCAUGGCACUGGGGCCUGGGCAUGGGAGGCAAGGCCGGGCAGUGGGAGGUGCCCUGAAUUGGUGAUCCGGCCACUUAAGCACUGAACCUCAAUACAGGAGACGUCACAGGAUUGCUGUAAGGAUCUAAAGAGCUGCCUCAGAAGAGAAGAAGGAACGGACACAAAUGAAAAUCAGAACACUAAAGAGAUUCAAAGAUUUGUCAUUUCCCUUCUGCUCAUGAAGGCCCUUGAUAGCUACACACGCAGUCAAGGCAACAAGCAAGCCUUCCACAUCCACGGUGGAUGGAGGCGCUCUUGAAAGGGGAGCCUUAGGAUGAAGGGAAAGGAAAAUGACCAGAAGGAAAAGACGGUGGGAGCGUAAAGAAGACUGACCUUGCACGGGGAAGGUGUGGACUUCUAGCCCAGCUAGAACUGGACGUCUGCUUGCCCGACCCCGUGUCCUUGAGAAGGUCAGCUUCGAAGCCUCAGUCUCCCCACCUAUGAAACGAGGAUGCGGGUCUCCAACUCACCCACAGUGCGGCCCCCU